AAGACAUCCAUGUGCAUACAGAGUAUUUGAAAAAAAAUCAAUUUAGAUUGUUAAAUGUAGUGUGGAGAGGUUUUCACGUUGCUUCUCAUUAACAUGGAACUUUCUGCAAGUUUCUGUGCACCCCUGCCUUUUGUAAAGUUGACUUUAACUAAGGAAACCAGGUAUGAUUAAAAGAGAAUAGGAUAGAGGGAGGAGCCAAGAUGGCCGAAUAGGAACAGCUCCGGUCUACAGCUCCCAGCCUGAGCGACGCAGAAGACGGUGAUUUCUGCAUUUCCAUCUGAGCCAUGGAAGAUGUGCCUGCUUCCCCUUCACCUUCCACUACGAUUGAAAAUUUCCUGAGACCUCCUCAGAAGCCGAGCAGGUGCCAGCUUCAUGCUUCCUUUACAGCCUGUGGAAGCGUGAGCCAAUUAAACCUCUUCUCUUUAUAAAUUACCCAGUCUCAUGUAUUUCUUUAUAGCAAUAUAAAAACAGACUAAUACAGCCAAGAU
rnacentral:lncRNA from 1 species